GAUUAACGCUGGCGGCGUGCAUAACACAUUCAAGUCGAACGGAGUAGAUGCUUCGGUGUCUACUUAGUGGCGGACGGGUGAGUAACGCGUGAGUAAUCUACCUUCCAGUGCGGAAUAACAACCGGAAACAGUUGCUAAUACCGCAUGAAAUGGCAGCAUCGCAUGGUGCAACCAUCAAAGAUUUAUCGCUGGAAGAUGAGCUUGCGUCCGAUUAGAUAGUUGGCGGAGUAACAGCCCACCAAGUCGACGAUCGGUAGCCGGACUGAGAGGUUGAACGGCCACAUUGGAACUGAGAUACGGUCCAGACUCCUACGGGAGGCAGCAGUGGGGAAUAUUGGGCAACGGGCGAAAGCCUGACCCAGCGACGCCGCGUGAGGGAAGAAGAUCUUCGGAUUGUAACCUUAGUCAACAGGGAAGAAGAAAGUGACGGUACCUGUGGAGGAAGCCACGGCUAACUACGUGCCAGCCGCCGCCGUAAAAC
rnacentral:rRNA from 1 species